GACGAACGCUGGCGGCGUGCCUAAUACAUGCAAGUCGAACGAGAGCAACCGGUGCUUGCACUGGUCAAUCUAGUGGCGAACGGGUGAGUAACACGUGGGUAACCUGCCCAUCAGAGGGGGAUAACAUCCGGAAACGGAUGCUAAAACCGCAUAGGUCUUCGAACCGCAUGGUUUGAAGAGGAAAAGAGGCGCAAGCUUCUGCUGAUGGAUGGACCCGCGGUGCAUUAGCUAGUUGGUGAGGUAACGGCUCACCAAGGCCGUGAUGCAUAGCCGACCUGAGAGGGUGAUCGGCCACAUUGGGACUGAGACACGGCCCAAACUCCUACGGGAGGCAGCAGUAGGGAAUCUUCCGCAAUGGACGCAAGUCUGACGGAGCAACGCCGCGUGAGUGAAGAAGGUUUUCGGAUCGUAAAAACUCUGUUG
rnacentral:rRNA from 1 species